rnacentral:rRNA from 1 species
GAUCCUGGGCUCAGGACGAACGCUGGCGGCGCGCCUAACACAUGCAAGUCGAACGAGAGAUGAGGAGCUUGCUCUUCAAAUCGAGUGGCGAACGGGUGAGUAACGCGUGAGGAACCUGCCUCAAAGAGGGGGACAACAGUUGGAAACGACUGCUAAUACCGCAUAAGCCCACGGCUCGGCAUCGAGCAGAGGGAAAAGGAGUGAUCCGCUUUGAGAUGGCCUCGCGUCCGAUUAG